UGGGGAAUCUUGCGCAAUGGGCGAAAGCCUGACGCAGCCAUGCCGCGUGGAUGAUGAAGGUCUUAGGAUUGUAAAAUCCUUUCACCGGGGACGAUAAUGACGGUACCCGGAGAAGAAGCCCCGGCUAACUUCGUGCCAGCAGCCGCGGUAAUACGAAGGGGGCUAGCGUUGCUCGGGAUUACUGGGCGUAAAGGGCGCGUAGGCGGACAGUUAAGUUGGGGGUGAAAGCCCGGGGCUCAACCUCGGAAAUGCCUUCAAUACUGGCUGUCUUGAGUACGGGAGAGGUGAGUGGAACUCCGAGUGUAGAGGUGAAAUUCGUAGAUAUUCGGAAGAACACCAGUGGCGAAGGCGACUCACUGGCCCGUUACUGACGCUGAGGCGCGAAAGCGUGGGGAGCAAACA
rnacentral:rRNA from 1 species